GAUGAACGCUGGCGGCGUGCCUAAUACAUGCAAGUCGAGCGAACGGACGAGAAGCUUGCUUCUCUGAUGUUAGCGGCGGACGGGUGAGUAACACGUGGAUAACCUACCUAUAAGACUGGGAUAACUUCGGGAAACCGGAGCUAAUACCGGAUGAUAUUUUGAACCGCAUGGUUCAAAAGUGAAAGACGGUCUUGCUGUCACUUAUAGAUGGAUCCGCGCUGCAUUAGCUAGUUGGUAAGGUAACGGCUUACCAAGGCAACGAUGCAUAGCCGACCUGAGAGGGUGAUCGGCCACACUGGAACUGAGACACGGUCCAGACUCCUACGGGAGGCAGCAGUAGGGAAUCGUCCGCAAAGGGCGAAAGCCUGACGGAGCAACGCCGCGUGAGUGAUGAAGGUCUUCGGAUCGUAAAACUCUGUUAUUAGGGAAGAACAUAUGUGUAAGUAACUGUGCACAUCUUGACGGUACCUAAUCAGAAAGCCACGGCUAACUACGUG
rnacentral:rRNA from 1 species